AUGAAUGUUCACAGGCACUCUGGUCAUCUUCAACCUUCUCCCUGGGUGGCAUGCUGCCCAGAACAUCCAGGCUUUGGGGUCACACAGACCACCCGGAACCCACUGAACACCUGCAGCUCCUGCAGUCUGGGCUGGAGUUGGGAAGUGUCUGUGUGGAAAAGGGCAGGAUGAGACCUGGGGUUUGAAGACUCCUGGGGAGGACAAAGGUGCAUGGUGGAUGCACAAGCAGUUUGGCACCUGCUGUCCCUGCUUGGGUCUAUGGAGGCGGGAAGAGUCCCAGUGAAGCUUAGAGCCUGGUGCCAUGUCCACAAGCAGUGCCCGGCUCACUGGUGGCAGAAGCCUCUUGCUUUGUGUUUUGAGAGAGUCUCUCCAGCAGCUAGGGAGCCCACCAACUUUCGGAGGUGCAAAGGAGAGAGAAAGAAACCACUCUGUCCACCCUUCUCGCAGGACUCCAAGCCUCUCAGGGGUUCGUCUUUGCUGAUAUGUUCUUCUUGUUCUGCACUGACACUUCUUCCCAUGAAGUCUCCUGAAGUUUCUGGCACACAUCCUUCAGACUCACAUUUGAUCUAUGUGUAUAUGUGUGUUUGUUUUCUCUCCUUCAUCUAAAACUUCUUCCUGCUGAGAUGCUCUGGCAGCUGGUACCUAUGGUCAGCCAUCUUGCCAGAAGUCCACUGUUUAUAUUAUUGAUGUCACAAAUUACAUCUUUAUAUAUUCUGUACCCAUUAAUAUAGACUUAUGGUUAUUUUAUGGCUUGUCUUUUACUUGCUAUGACAGAAUAAAAACUGGUGCGAAAAACCAGAAUUGCAAUAAUACAGGUUAUUUGGGUUUCCACAUGUAUAUUUUUUACCUAGGAACUCUAUAUUUUCCUAUUAUUUCCAGUCACUGUCAAGCAAGAAACAAAAGAGAAGAAACCACAUUUCUACCUCUUUGAGUGUCAUAAUAAUCACAGAAUGCUACAUAGCCCCUUCUUCCUGUCUAAAAAUAUUCCAAAAAUAAUCACUGUUGCUAAAGUAACUUCACCAGCUGUAAAAUUUAUUGAUAAAGUUCCUCCCAAUAAUUUAAUGGUUAUGAAUACAUUAUGUUUCAGAUAGCAUCUAUAGGUCUUUUCUUUGACAAAUAUAAUUUCUGAGCAUGCAACUAUCUGUCUUUCAGGUUCUACUUUGAUUGCCUAUUCUGAGACAGUUGAACUACCAAGGAAAUCUUGAUCUUUAGUGGCAGCCACAAGAGGAGACCCUAAUAGUGUGUUCCUGGGAUAAGCUGAAUUUAUAUUCUCAACCUGCCUAAACUAGUCUGAUCAAAACCUGAACUUCCUAAGUUUCAUAUGCUCAGUUGAGGGCAUUGUUUAAUAUUUAACCAUAUCAUACCAGCAAGGUGGUGCUGUAGAGAAAUAUCAGAUAUGUGUCAUCAUUGGUUGUUUUAUUUGAAUUGCAACACACUCUAGCAGGCUGCUGAUCACAGCUACCAUGCCUGCAUUUCACCUCUCUUCAAGGUCUGCAACCUGGAAAAUUUUCGACUUAGCUCUUGGACACCGAAAACAUGUGGGUCCAAGGGCCAGAUGCAUAAUCUGAGAGUGAAAGGGUCUUGCCUAUGGUCAAGUGAGUGAAUGAUAUAUUUGCAGUGGAUCCUUGGAGUCUAAACUCAUGUGAUUAUUUCAUUCCAACAAUACUGUUCCAGUUGUCUUUUCAUUUUCUCCUAACCUCAUGUCUGGUCUGAUCUGGCUAUUCCCAUCUUUCAUUCUUAGCCUGCCUUCCACAACAUCCUCUUUCAUAAGUCACACUGUGGCUCAGAGACCCUCUGUGCCCCUUGACUCCAUGCUUUCAAUGAAUGCUUACACUUCAUUUACAAAGCUGUCCUGGGAGAAGCUAAUCAGGCCUGGGCCUUGUCCAUUUGGCAACACUUUCUUCUGACAUCCAUUUUCCACUACUGAUGAUGAUCCCUGAUUUAAAUGAGCUGACGCAGAAGGUCAAGUAUAACCCUAGCUGACCUUGUAGAGAGCAAUCUAACUGCCACCUGCUCCUUCCAGGUCUGUCAGUCACCCAUCCGAACAUGUCCCCCUGCUUGAACCCAGGAAUCCUGCUUUUUUCUCCCUGAGGGGCUUUUGCCUGGAGGAAUGUGCUGGGCUACAUGGAGAGUCCUGCAAGCUAUUAAGAGUGGCUUAUGGAAGGCUCUGGAACAGGUUUCAAUGCAGCAUCACAGCUAGCAGGUCAGGAGGGAAUGGCUAUGCCUAGAAAGACCCUAACUGUCAUCCAGUUUUAGAAGUUCAUAUUCCUAAGCUAUUUUGCUAGGCAUGGUGCUCGCUGGGGGAGAAAUACAACAGUCUUACCUCUAUCAAGUUUCCAAUGCUGUAUGUAUAAAUCCAUUCUCCUGAGAGAGUUGAGGUUAUAUACUCCAGGCAAAAAGGGACAAGGAAGAAGAAAAUUAACAUUCAGUUAUGCAUGUAUUGUAGCACAUGCUUGUGGUGCCCUACACACAUCCCUGAGAGGGUUUCCAAGCUGAGGCCUUCCCAUGCCUCAGUGACUGAGGACACUCUCUGCCCACUGGCAUGUGCUUGGCUCACUGAAGGAUGGGCAGAGAGAGCCACCUAGUUAAUUCCCAAAGGAGCAAUCCUUCACAAACAAAGAGUGAAUAUUGGUGGGAGAGCAGCCCAGCAUCCCUGCGCUUCAACCCAAUUCCGCUGCACAUUCCACAUAGUCAAUGACAAGUGGGAGGGUUCCAGCUGCCUAUAGCAGUGACCUGCUCAUUAACAUACACGUUCCUACGUUCCUUGAGUCAAAGCCCCAUCCUCUGAAAAUGCUUCCUGGAAUUCACUCCCAAAUAACAAUAUAUAUUAUCCAAAUAUUAAUCACAGGGUUGCUUUCAGGUAAAACUCAAACUAAGAGCUCUGGGGAUUUUACAUUCACUAUGUCUGUUACUUUUCACGCAAACCAUGAAGUAUGCAGCAAACCCUUUGUCAGAUGAAGAUGCUGAGGUUGAAAGAGGUUAAACAGGUUCAUUAGAAUCACACAGCAAAUAAGGUUAAAGUCAGGAUUUGAGAUUAUGCCUGUGUGGCUGGUAAACCUGUCUGAUUUCUACCAUUUGAGGUUACUUCAGAUAAAACCCUGGUUUGGGUCUCAGCACACCUACUUUUUGGGUCAAGUCUUCCUUCUCCUUGAUGUGUGACCUUGGGGAGACUGAUGACCGAUAGAGGUUAUUUCUAUAUGUCCAUUUAAAUGUUGAUCAGUGAAACCAAUUUGCUGGUCAAAAACUCCAGCUUAUGGACAGAGGUGAUCUCAGCUGAACAAACCCCCUGGCAUUCUACUUCCCCCUGAAAUCAGGUGCAGUUAGAGGAAUUUCAGCAAAGCAGGAAUGUUAUAAUAUCCACGUUGUCUGAGGCUUUGGUGGCUGAGGAGUGCAUUCCUGGAAAAGUCCUGCCCAAAUUCAGGCAAAGCAACUAAGGAGGUUACUGCAACAAGGAGAACGAGAAGGUACAGGCUUUGUUGUCCUUUUGCAACACACUCAUCUCAACACACUCAUCCUUCGUCUUUUCAUGCAUUAAUGUCCUGUUUCAUGAAUUCCCUUCCACAAGGUCUUCUAGAGUUUCACUGACAUUUUAAGAUUUCUCAUUUGCUAAUUCGUUUUUUUUUU